rnacentral:misc_RNA from 1 species
AAGGAGCACCACGAGAAACACUCCAAUUGGUGGGGUGUGAGCCGUGAGGGGUUCUUGUCUGUAGUGGACGAGAGCCGGGUGCACAACAACAGGCAAUCGCCAGACACACUAUUGGGCCCUGAGACAACACUCGGCCAUCUUCGGUCGAUGUGGUGUCCCUCCAUCUUGGUGGUGGGGUGUGGUGUUUGAGUAUUGGAUAGUGGUUGCGAGCAUCUAAAUGAAUGCGUUGCCGGCAACGGUUGCGUGUUCGUUUUGUGUAAUUUUAUUUCUUUUGGUUUUUGUG